GUCCACGCCGUAAACGUUGGGCACUAGGUGUGGGGCUCUUUCCACGAGUUCCGUGCCGCAGCAAACGCAUUAAGCGCCCCGCCUGGGGAGUACGGCCGCAAGGCUAAAACUCAAAGGAAUUGACGGGGGCCCGCACAAGAGGCGGAGCAUGCGGAUUAAUUCGAUGCAACGCGAAGAACCUUACCAAGGCUUGACAUGGGCGGUAAUCCGGCAGAGACGUCGGGUCCGUAAGGGCCGUUCACAGGUGGUGCAUGGUUGUCGU
rnacentral:rRNA from 1 species